GUAGGGAAUAUUGGGCAAUGGAUGCAAGUCUGACCCAGCCAUCCCGCGUGCCGGAAGAAGGCCUUCGGGUUGUAAACUUCUUUUAUGAGGGACGAAGGACGUGACGGUACCUCAUGAAUAAGCCACGGCUAACUACGUGCCAGCAGCCGCGGUAAUACGUAGGUGGCGAGCGUUGUCCGGAUUUACUGGGUGUAAAGGGCGCGUAGGCGGACUGGCAAGUCAGAUGUGAAAUACAGGGGCUCAACCCCUGAACUGCAUUUGAAACUGUUGGUCUUGAGUAUCGGAGAGGCAAGCGGAAUUCCUAGUGUAGCGGUGAAAUGCGUAGAUAUUAGGAGGAACACCAGUGGCGAAGGCGGCUUGCUGGACGACAACUGACGCUGAGGCGCGAAAGCGUGGGGAGCAAACAGGAUUAGAAACCCCUGUGUCC
rnacentral:rRNA from 1 species